rnacentral:rRNA from 1 species
AUUGAACGCUGGCGGCAUGCUUUACACAUGCAAGUCGAACGGUAACAGGUCUUCGGAUGCUGACGAGUGGCGAACGGGUGAGUAAUACAUCGGAACGUGCCUAGUAGUGGGGGAUAACUACUCGAAAGAGUAGCUAAUACCGCAUGAGAUCUACGGAUGAAAGCAGGGGACCUUCGGGCCUUGUGCUACUAGAGCGGCUGAUGGCAGAUUAGGUAGUUGGUGGGGUAAAGGCUUACCAAGCCUGCGAUCUGUAGCUGGUCUGAGAGGACGACCAGCCACACUGGGACUAAGACACGGCCCAGACUCCUACGGGAGGCAGCAGUGGGGAAUUUUGGACAAUGGGCGAAAGCCUGAUCCAGCAAUGCCGCGUGCAGGAUGAAGGCCCUCGGGUUGUAAACUGCUUUUGUACGGAACGAAAAGCCUGGGGCUAAUAAGCUGAGCUCAUGACGGUACCGUAAGAAUAAGCACCGGCUAACUACGUGCCAGCCGCCGCCGUAA